GCCAGAAGUGCUGCAGAAGUACAGUCCAUCAGAACUGAUAUUCCAACGAGGUGUAUUUUAAAUGAAGAGAACCUGGAUGUGCUGGGUGAGACUGACACUCGGAUCCUUACCUUAAACCCUUCCCUCCCCAGACUCUGGCCUGAAGGAUGUUCUGGAUGUUGUUUCAGCGUGUUGUCUUGGCGUCCUGCAUCAGGAACUCAGUGUGUCUGUUGGACCCUGGGGAGUGAGGAGGAAAAUGAGGAACUGGCACCGGUUUGUUUGGCUUCCAACACGCACAGAUACACGCUCCCCCUGUACGGAUGCUGCCAAAAAGAAAGGCUCAGUGCUGCUGUUAAAGUGAGCUGCCGCGAGGAGAGGCCGAGUGGUGAAUGGAUGUGCCUAUAAAGGAGCUGAGAUAGAGCAGAGGGUGUGUUGCAACAUUGAUUUUUCAGGCAUCUUGCUGCUUCGCAUCCCAAGGCAAAUCCCAGGUAAAUGAUGAGUCUCCGUGUCGAAGGAUCCCACCUGCUGCACCCAGAGCUGUACUUGGCUUUAGGCAGCGGACAAGCCUCCCUCUGCUCCCAGCUUAUAGCCCUGAAACUUCCUUGGUAUUCAAGGUUCUUUCAAUGAGAGACCUUCUUUUAAAAUGUGCCAUUUUAAUGUGAUAAAACUUCCAUACCUGUGUGGUUAUGGGCCCCUCCAGACUGAGUACAACACCUGAGUACAGUUUUGUGCUUGUGUUUUAUCAGCACUCCUGGAAGCACACCACCACUGUUGAUCUUGUCUUGUGAAAUGCAGCUUAUGGCAGACCUCUCUAUGGAAACUGAACAUUGACACUCCAAAGCAAAACUUCAUUACUUUGGCACUGCACAAAUAACUUGUCAACUCAGUGAAUUUUUAAAUAGAAAAAAAGAGCAAGCUUGUUUAUACCUGUUCCAUAUUUAUCAUUAGUCAACAGUAGUGCAAAACACUGUGGCAAUCAUUACAUUCAUUUCUUAAAGUGAAUCAAGUGAACAGAAAUUGUUAAAUGCCAGAGUACAAUACAGCUUACAAAACCCAACAGGCAUCAGGAAACUUGUACUGAUUGGGCUCUUAGAUGUUGUUUUCCUCUUGCUUAGGAAAGAGAAUUGUAGUCAGCUCGCAAUCUCCCCGACAUUGUUCAUGAAGGAAGCAGACAAAAAGUACCAAUGAAACAGAAGGGCUGCAAUUUAGUUAAUUUUAUGCAAAACAUAAUCAGCAUUCAAACUGGGAGUUACCAAGCAGAAAUGCAUUGAUAGAGAAGCCAAACUAUUCUCUGUGGAUAAAUGGUGAAAUAUUAAAACAAAAUUUCAAAGAGACUCCUGGAAGUCACAUAACUAUAGGCCAGAGAGGAUGCAAGGGUGAAAUCUGAGACUAUUAAAGCCUGUGAUUUAAGCCCUGGCACCCCAGCCCAUGCCUCCAUGUGAUAUGAACCGCUGCAGCUCUGGUGUGACACAAGACCUUGUAUCAGGAAGGAAAAAUAGAAACAACUUUUUCAGAAGAGUGGUUAGAAGAGAGGGUGAUGGCUUGUAACAGACGGCAGCAAAGGAUCUAUGCUGUGGAGAGGGUGGAGCAGGAAGAGCAGUAAGAAGGUAGUAAAGGACAGAGAAAAGAAAAGAACUUCAGUUCAGCUGGCGAAUGUAACGAUGUAGGUGACACCUAUGCAGGGAUCUGCUUUCUAGUCCAGGAGACCCCAAACUGAUGAUGGGGGACACUGAUGUCCCAUUUUGUGUUUUGCUUAGCUUGAUACACUCAUAUUAGCAUUGAAGCUAACUAAGGACACAGAAUAUGUUUGUACAGAACAACACGCACUCCUCUUUCUCAAACUUCACGUGCUCUGCUGAAACUUUCUGAUGAAUCAAUCUUUGUGCCUCCAGUCCCUGAAGGCUCCAGCCCAGUGUGCAUAUUCCAUCUCCGUCUAUAGCAGAGCCCCUGUAUGCAUGCUCUCUCUGCCUUCAGUUUGGAAUUUGCAGUGUUCCAUGAGGUGUAACCACCAACUGUGUUCAAAGACAACCAGAGGUCAGUUGUGAACCAUGUCUGAGGAUCAUGCUGACCACUAACAUUUAGAAUGGAUAGCGGUUUGCAGAGGGAAGCCAAAAGCUAUUCAUUUCCUACUGUGCUUCCAGCAUCCAGUUUAGGUUGGUUUCAUGCCUGACCUAGGCUGCAAUUGAGGUUAGUGCUUUGGUUUUCCUUCAAGUUCCAGUUCUCCAUACACUGUUCUGUUAGCAACAUUUGCUUGACAUGACUGUCUAGUAUGGUCUGAUGGUGUUUUGCUACAAUUCCUGUGUGUACAGAAGCUAAUAAAGAAACUCUCAACUCAGAAAGCCCA
rnacentral:lncRNA from 1 species